AUUAUAAUCACAGAAAUCUAGCCGUCACGAGAUCAAUGAACCUGUGUUUGUGUUAAUCCUCAAGCCGGUUCUUGAAAUUUUAAUUCUACGGAAUUUGCCCAGCAGACCACGUCACCUGCAUUGAAGACCAGGAAGCAAAGAUGUUUAACAACACGAAUCAAGAUAUCAGCGAGUUAACAAUGGAAACUUUCCAAGUAUUACUACUGUUCCACCGGACUGAUCCAGCACCAGAUGUUGGUACAGUUCGAACUGGAAGAUAUCAAGUCGGAUGAAACGAAAUGUUACUUGAUCUUCAUGAAAAUGGAUACUCAUCUGACAAUAAAGAGACUACCCGCACCGAAACAUUAAAUGUGGAAAGUCCAAAGAUAAGUUUGCAAAACAAUUUUUGGCAUCAAGAAUGAAGGUGAAGAAGCAUGCAGAAUGACCUUGGUCAUAGAAAACCAUCACAGUUCUGCAGUAAUCCUCAAGUUUACUGCAGAUAAGCAACCUACCCGCAAGAAUCAUAAAAUGUAUGGUUUCUCCAUCCAAAAUGGAUAUAGUCAUUUUUGCUGAUUCUAAACCAUAUCAGAAAGAUUGAAUCGAAGAGAUUAUAUUGUCUGGCGAUAAAAACCACGUCUCUGUUUUCAUCGAAACUUCAAUUAAUAAGGAUCCAACCUUCAUCGACAAUAUUCUUGCUAGUGCUUCACCGUCGAGUCCGGUUGACCAAAACUACUCUUCCUACCGAUGAAAAAGAAUACCAACCACUCGUACCAGUGAACAGCUUGAACAUUUUGGAAAAAUGAAGAUAUUAUUGUAGCAGUGCAUGCUGACAUUUCUGCUGCAACUCAUCACCAGAGCAUCCUGUAUAGAAGCAGCUGCCGGUUGAAGACAUCAUAAUAUUCCUAUAACAAGUAAGGCCUACGAAUUUAUAUUAGAUGUUUCGUUUGUCAGUUUAGUAAUAAGUAUUUUAAUACUACCUUCAUAAACCACAACUACACAUUAUCCUUGAAGGAGUAUGUAUGUAACAAAGCAAAAUUGUGUAAUAGUGGCUAUACACGGUAGGUUUUGCACGACGGUUUUGCCCCUACAAGCUAGUAUAACCGACUUAUAAAUUUACUGACAACCGUACAGUUUCCUUCCAUACACGCUAGGGUUUCAUGCACAGUUUUAAAUGUAAGGGCAAACGCGUCAUGUAAAACUUAACGUAUAUGACCACCAUAGGGCAGUGCGGUAACUCUAAAUUUACUUUUGCUUUCCUUUGGAAAUGUAGGCAGAGGUGUACAAAAAGACAAUCAAAUCAAUUGGCCAGAGCAUAUAGCGAUUAGUUAGGAAACAGUCUUGCUGUGUAGAUCCUUGAACCCUUAAUACGAGUUAGAUUUACGUUGGACGUUGAACGACAGUGCGUGCGGCGCUCUGAUUGGCCGGCUCGAAUAAACCAACCAAUCAGAGCGCCGAUCGCGCUCUCGUUUCGAUUACUUUAAACGUAAAGCUCGUACAAAGGGUACUUAACGGUAACAAGUCUUUCAUUUCUGAUAAUAGUAAUAAUAUUAUUCUUUUUUUACUGCAUAUUAUUACGAACCACAUAACUUUAAAAUAACAUUCUUUUUUAAUCAUAGAUGUGAAGGUAGGUCACUUUUAAUGAAAUACACAAUUAUGUUGGUAUGUGGGUAGAUAAAGAUAUGUACAUUUUACUUGCAAUGUCUGUGAGUUUGCAAUGUCUUUUUCUGCUUAUCUGUUGUAUCGGUUGUAGUUAUCGUCUAAUGCCAACGAUCCUCUAUCACAAGUUAUACCGAUAGUGUACCGUUUAGUUGUUCAGUACUGCGUCGCUUACGCCUAGGUCACGCUGCAGCUUCAACCCGUUAGGACAGCAUUCGCCCUAUGCACUUAUUUACUUAGUGUUCUAGGAAUAAAUCGGUUAUUCCGAGUCUGAGUCGCUCUCACUUUUACUGAUAUUAUUGUACGUACUAAUAGUAUAUGCAGGGAUAGUACAUACAGUAUACAUGAGUCGAACUGUAUGUGGUAUAUAGAAUAAUGGAUUCAGAUAGUAUACUAUAUUAUUCGUUACUGUGUUACUCAUGCCAAGGUCACGCUGUAGCUUCAACCCGUUAGGACAGCAUUCGCCCUAUGCACUAUGCAUUUAUAUAAUGUUUAGGGAACAAUUUGGUGUUUACCAUUACCAAGUUGAUAUUCCUGUAUAAGAAUAAAAAACUAAUUGUUAAACGCUUAUUUUGCGCCGACUUUAUCGUCUGUUUGCAUUGAUACGUUUUAUACUUUCUCUGCUUUUUUAAUGUUGGCCAUUGAAUAGGCCAAUAGGUUGACUAUCGAUACCUUCACAAUGAAAAUAAAUCAAAAUAAGACAUAACGCUAGAAGAAAUAAAGUCUGCGUCGCCUGAUCUAAGAACGUGAUAUUCGUUCAAAACUUUCAAUCGGGUCGCAACCUGCAGCUUUCGGGGAAUACUUUGUAUGCGGUAUAAACCGUAGUCUUCUUUCCAGUCUCUCUCUCAUAUUGUACAUUCCGUGCGCAUCUUUCUUCAAUUAAUAUAAUUAUUGUUCCGUCACAUGUGUGUGACAAAUGUGAUUUGUAACAUUUAGUUACAAAUUUUCAUUUUUCGUUCACUGUACUUUAGUUUGUAUUAUAGUGUACUAAUUACUUACAGCGUUGGUUAUGCCAUGCUGCAGCUUCAACCUGUUAGGACACCACGCGUCUCACGCGCUUUCUGUUUAAAGUCGUUCAGUUUUUACGAAGAAGUAAUAUCCACUUAGGAAUAAACUCAAAUCCAGCUACGGUGGUUUUUGUUAUGGCAACGGUCACGUUUGACAUAGUCGGUGGCAACAAGUUGCAUUAUGAUGUAUCUCCUCGUCCUGUAAUAUUGUUUUUACAACCAAUAUUAGAAGGUCGUGGAAAAGGGAAUAUAAUAUCUUACAUUGAGGUACAGCCGGGUCUACAAGGUUGGUCGAGUGAGAGAUAAGACAAUACAAUGGCGACUAUCACUAGUUUCUACGAACUGUGUCUAGACAUCAGGUGUAAUGAGCAUUGUUAUACUUUGAUUCCAUACAUCCAAACUAGGGCCUUAAAAUUGCUUUAACAAAAGAAUGUUAAUACCUGAUCCUACCGUGGGAACUUAGUCCUGUCGAGUUCUUGGAAUGUUGCUAGGCUUUUAGCUUCAAUGUAAGUGUGGGAGAGCCAUGCUUCGGCACGAAUGGGCCGGCUCGACCGGAGUGAUACCACGGCCUCACAGAAAACCAACGUGAUACAACGCUUGCGUUGUAUUUCGUCGUGUGAGUGAGGUUACCGGAGGCCCAAUUACCCCCCUUCCCAACCUCCCAAUCCCCGAAUCCCCAACAAUCCUCAAAUUCCUAACCCCAAAAGGCCUGCAAGCCAUUUGUAACGCCUACGGUGUUCCAAGUGUUCAGUGGCUUAUAAAAUAGAAAAAUAGAAAAAAAAAUUAAAAAAAUUAAAUCCUAAAAAAACACAAUGACGGGCUAAAGGACGAAUGGAAUUUUCCAUAAGUAAUUUUGUGGUUUAAGUUUGAUUAUAUUUAAUCACAAAGUUGGAGAAAUUAUCCGAUUCGUAAUUAGUUACUUUUUGAAGUCAAUUCCAAGGUGCUAUGGCAAUAAAUGAAAGAAGUAAAAAUAAAUUGUUAUAUUUUCUUGUUUUUCAUUACAUUUUUUAUGGGGUUUUCUAUGUUAACGCUUCUUCCAUGACUUUAUACUGCACGGUUAGCGAAGCAAACAAGAGGCGAGAGAAAUCGUUGCCAUCGUUAGUUACCCCAGCCAGCCGUCACAAACUAGCCAGACAUGGGGAACGAUGCCUGUGUUCUGGAGUCUUCUAUGAAGUACGCAGCGCCUUUUUUAUUGUUAUCAAUUACCCAAAUACAAAUGUCGGCGUCAUUAAAGUUUAUGGUUAUUGGCGUCAAAUCCGUUGGCUUGUCAUAAGCCCACCCACGUUUCUCAUCACAGGAGACUGUCGUCUCUUGUGUGACCAAAUUUGCACUUUGUGCCUCUUGGUUGCGGCUUCAGCGAGGUCGGCAGCUGGUAUCCAAUUCGCUGGCUCCUUUCCACUAAGCCGCAAACGUUUUCCAUCACCAAUCGUCUCAUCCGAUGAUUUACGAUUCCGAUUCUGAAAAUUUAAAAAUAAAUUUUAGAAAUAUAAUCCACAAAUGUACUAUUAAGUGGAGUGCAAUUGAAUAAAGUGAGCGUCUUGAUAUUCUUUUUCUUGUUCGGACGGUUACUCUUGCUGUUGCGAUGCCGUUGAUGGUACUGUUGAUUGUGAGGACGAUGGCGUUACUGGCGGCGCCGGUAGAGCGUUAAGUGAUGCCUCCAGUUGUGCUGUGACAAAAAUACACAACCACAAUAGACAUAGUUACUCAAAUAUAAAACUAAUACUCACAGAAAUCAUCCAAGUCAGCUAAGACUUGCUCUAUCGUAUCUUGCUGUACCGGUGGUGAUAGUGAUGGAUAUGUUGGUUGUGACUGUGCUGCAGUGUGGGUAAAGGAAGGCCCAGCUUCAGCAAGGUCAGUGGGUGAGAUUCAAUUGAGAUUGGUUAGAUGACGAUUCCAGCUGUGCGACUACAAAAAUACAAGCAUAAACCGUUGAUUCCAGCCAGCCGUUAUCAUUUUCUAGCCAGAGAUGGGCAACGAUGCCAUUUCUCUCUUUUAGUCUUCCAUGAAGUACGUAGACCCGACGGAGCUCCGUAUUCUUCAGAAUAUAUAUUUCUUGUAUUUUAUGAUUAUUUUUACAAUGUAUUAAAUUUCUACAUUAAUGGGGAUUUGAAUGCUUCCCGCAUGGUUAAUCUGCACGGCCAGUUAAGGCAAGCAAAAGUCGUUGCUAACGUUGAUUCCAGCCAGCCGUCAUCAUUUUCUAGCCAGUCUUUCAUGUAGGCCCGACAGUCGCAGUACGCCAACAGUGAUGUGAUUAGUGGAGCGAAUUGGCUGGUUAACUGCUCCAGCUCGGGAACUACAAACAAUACAAUACUAGUUAGUUGCGUGUUACAAAUGGCAUCAAAAUAGACUUAUUUACUCAAGUACAAAUCUUAUACUUACAAAGAAGAUCUUGGUCGUCUAUGUCGAGUUCGGACGGUAGCUCUUGCUGUUGCGAUGGCCCCAACUCUGGAACUACAAAAAAACAAUACUUGUUAACCACACAAGUUACAAAUGUAGUGUCUUUAGUUUCAAAUGUACCCAAAAUAGACAGUCAUUCAAAUGUAAAUCUAAUACUUACUGAUAAGAUUCAAGUCCUCCAGGUCUUGGCCAAGCGACAUGUCUGGCUGUGGCAGUGCUGGUGGUUCUAGAUCUGAUGGCACAACUGGUGGUGCCUGGGCGUUUCGGGACGCCUCCAGCUGAGCGACUACAAAAAUACAACACUACAUAAGUAAAUACUCGUAGGAACACCAAUCAUUGAUUAUAUCAAGUAAUUUUCAUUUUACCACUUACUUUGUGCCUCCAAAUCUGUGUUAACCCGCCUAUAGUCCUCGAUGUCUUGCUUGUUCUUGGCAUUGUCCAAUUUUUUAAUCACAAAUGCCAUCAAAUAGGCAGUCGAUACCUUCAAAAAGAAAUGAAAGUGCUCUUGCGAUGCCGUAGACGGUGGGUUAGGGGAUGGCCCCAGUUCUGGAACUACAAAAUAACAAUACUUGUUAACCACACAAGUUACAAAUUUAGUGUAUUUAGUUACAAAUGGAACCAAAAUAGACAUAUUUACUCCAGUACAAAUCCUAUACUUACAAAGAAGAUCUUGAUCGUCUGUAUCGAGUUCGGACGGUAACUCCUGCUGUUGCGAUGUUGUUGAUGGUGGCAGUGAUGCAACUUGCUCUGAUGUAACCGGUGGUGAUGGCUCCAGCUAUGCAACUACAUAAAUACAACACUUGUUAGUUGUGUGUUACAAAUGGAACCGAAAUAGACAUAGUUACUCCAGUACAAAUCUGAGAGAGAUCUUGAAUGUCUAUUUCUUGCAGGAACGGCAACUCUUCCUGUUCCGAUGCUUUUGGUGUAAGUUGAGGCGAUGGUGGCCGUGAUGCCACUUGCUCAGAUGGUGACGGCUCCAGCUGUGCAACUACAAAAAUACAACAAUUUUUAAGUUUUGUAAACUUAUAUUUGCGUCGCACUUUGAGGCUUCAAUCAAUUCUGACCGGGUUUUGGCAAAGUUCUCCCUCCUCUUCCUUCGGUAUUAUGCAUUCCCUGCGCGGUUCUUCGUCUAAAUAGAGUUCAUUAUGAAUAUAUUGUUCAGACAUUUGUUUUAUACGAACCAGGGACAGAGGGGUUCGGUUUGCACCGCUAUGUAUACCGCGUCUCGGUCUGGUUGCUUUGGAGCCGGAUUUUGAGGAUCUUUUUCCUUUCUGGCUCUUUCCCUGAUAAAAUAACAGAAAUCGGGUUAGAAACAACACAAAAUUUACAAAAAAAAAACUUAAGUUUAUAAAUAAGUGAGACAUACCUUCUCCAAAUUCUUAAUCGCCUUUCCUGAUUCCAUUUUAAAAAAUUUGGUUGUUGAAGCAGAAUGAGUUGCAGUCGCAGUGGUCUUUGGAACCUGUAGAUGUUGAAGGUUCUGCAUUUGCUUCGUGCACUUAUCCACUGGUUUAGGAACAAUUCAGCUAUUCCGUGUGUUACACUGAGUCGCUUUCACUGUUUUAAAUUGUACAUAAUUAAAGUAUAUGUAUGUAUCGACUCUGAGACAUACAUAUUUAAUUACUGUUUAUAUAAGUCAAACUGUAUGUGGUACAUGUAUAGUAACAAUGGAUGAACAGUGGACUCAUGCCAAGGUCACGCU